CAGUCGCCACGGUAAUACGUAGGGUGCGAGCGUUAAUCGGAAUUACUGGGCGUAAAGCGUGCGCAGGCGGUUCGUUAAGACAGAUGUGAAAUCCCCGGGCUUAACCUGGGAACUGCAUUUGUGACUGGCGAGCUAGAGUAUGGCAGAGGAGGGUAGAAUUCCACGUGUAGCAGUGAAAUGCGUAGAGAUGUGGAGGAACACCGAUGGCGAAGGCAGCCCCCUGGGCUAAGAUUGACGCUCAUGCACGAAAGCGUGGGGAGCAAACAGGAUUAGAUACCCGCGUAGUCCCUGUCUCUUAUAC
rnacentral:rRNA from 1 species